GACGAACGCUGGCGGCGUGCUUAACACAUGCAAGUCGAACGGUGAAGCCUUCGGGUGGAUCAGUGGCGAACGGGUGAGUAACACGUGAGCAAUCUGCCCUUGACUCCGGGAUAACUUCGGGAAACCGGAGCUAAUACCGGAUAUGACAUCUGGCCGCAUGGUCUGGGUGUGGAAAGAUUUAUCGGUCAAGGAUGAGCUCGCGGCCUAUCAGCUUGUUGGUGGGGUAANGGCCCACCAAGGCGACGACGGGUAGCCGGCCUGAGAGGGCGACCGGCCACACUGGGACUGAGACACGGCCCAGACUCCUACGGGAGGCAGCAGUGGGGAAUAUUGCGCAAUGGGCGGAAGCCUGACGCAGCGACGCCGCGUGAGGGAUGAAGGCC
rnacentral:rRNA from 1 species